rnacentral:rRNA from 1 species
UACGUAGGGGGCUAGCGUUGUCCGGAAUCAUUGGGCGUAAAGCGCGUGUAGGCGGCCCGGUAAGUCCGCUGUGAAAGUCGGGGGCUCAACCCUCGGAAGCCGGUGGAUACUGUCGAGCUCGAGUACGGAAGAGGCGAGUGGAAUUCCUGGUGUAGCGGUGAAAUGCGCAGAUAUCAGGAGGAACACCAAUUGCGAAGGCAGCUCGCUGGGACGUAACUGACGCUGAGACGCGAAAGCGUGGGGAGCAAACAGG